CUGAAAUUCCACCCGCGUGAGAAUAUUUCAGCCCCGAACGGUUUUUCUUUUCUUUUCUCCUCGCCCAUCGAGCCUCCAACGUCGCCUCCUCCUUCCCUUCCCCUGAGGCCGCCGCCGCCUCCUCCCCUCCGUGGCCCUCCUCUGCCCGUCUGCUGCGUCGCAGCCCACCUCGCCCGCUCGCCUCCACCUGCUCCCCGCCUCCGCCUAUCCUGUCUCCGCCCGCCGCCGCACCGAUCGCCGCAGCCCCGCGUUGUCCUCCUCUCUCCCAAUCCCUGUCUCCGCCCGCCGCCGCACCGAUCGCCGCACCCCCGCGUUGUCCUCCUCUCUCCCAACCCCCUCCGGGAACCCACGCCAGCCACGAAGCACGCCCGAAGAAGGGAGCAAGGCGAGAGCGAGGAGGGUCCAUGGCGCCGCUGUCGUGGCGGCGCCACACGGUGCUACAGGCGCUGCUCUCGCGGGGCUCGCUCUCGGAGCCGGACUUCUAGGCCCUCCUCACUGACAUCUCCGCCGGCAAGAACCCCGGUACGGGUUACCCACGCCCGCUCCGCUCCGUCCUGCUCUCCCUGCUUCUUCUCCUCUCAUCACGGAUGAGAUCAUUAGACACACGUCCCUCUCCUCUUUGCCAGGGAUGUUGCCGCCACCCAGGUGUUCGAUGUAUUGCGCGUGUGGGGGGUUUCAGUAAUGCGACUGUUCUUUGUUCAUCCAGCCGCCGGCGGCGCCUGCCUGCGCCCAUCCCGCACCCCACCGCCGCCCAUCCCGUCAGGACCUACUGCGCGUCCCAACGCUUAUAUUCCUGCCGCCGCCGACCAGACCAGCUACUCCACCACCUUAUCCGUUCGUCGGCGCACCGUCGCUCCGCCCCACCACCGAUGAGACUCGCGAGGUGCCCAUCCCCGGCGUGGCGUCCACCGCCAAGACUCGUGAUGUGCCCAGCCACGGCGUGGCGCCCACCGCCGAGACUCAUGAUGUGCCCAGCCGCGGCGCGGGUGCACCAUCGAGUCGCCGUCGCGUUUGCGCAAGCAGAAGCCGCAGUCGCCUGUAGGAACUUGAUCUUCGAGUGGCUGGUUGUGUGUGCGCGCCCCUAAGGUAAAUCAUCAUAGCUGGGAGCCUGGAAUUCAUGGACAUGCUAAUCUAACAAAGCGUGAUAUUAGAAGAUUUCCCCUUAGUGAGGUCCUACAAACAUUCAUGAGUUGGUGUGGUUGUGCCAACCAAAUUGUUUCGCAUGGAGAUUUCUUUUUGACAUCCUUUAUCUGCUUCAUUGAAGUAACUGAUGUUUUGUCAACGAUAUAAAAUAUCGAAAAAUAUCAGUUGUUUUAUUACUCAAUCUAAGUGGUUCCCCUUUUCCACAUGAA